rnacentral:rRNA from 1 species
UACGUAGGGUGCGAGCGUUGUCCGGAAUUACUGGGCGUAAAGAGCUCGUAGGUGGUUUGUCGCGUUGUUCGUGAAAACUCACAACUCAAUUGUGGGCGUGCGGGCGAUACGGGCAGACUGGAGUACUGCAGGGGAGACUGGAAUUCCUGGUGUAGCGGUGGAAUGCGGCAGAUAUCAGGAGGAACACCGGUGGCGAAGGCGGGUCUCUGGGCAACAACUGACGCUGAGGAGCGAAAGCGUGGGGAGCGAACAGG